GACGUAGGGCGCGAGCGUUGUCCGGAUUUAUUGGGCGUAAAGAGCUCGUAGGCGGCUUGUCGCGUCGACUGUGAAAUCCCGCGGCUCAACUGCGGGUCUGCAGUCGAUACGGGCAGGCUAGAGUUCGGUAGGGGAGACUGGAAUUCCUGGUGUAGCGGUGAAAUGCGCAGAUAUCAGGAGGAACACCGGUGGCGAAGGCGGGUCCUG
rnacentral:rRNA from 1 species